rnacentral:lncRNA from 1 species
AAGAAAGGGAGAUUUUGUUGCUAUUGGAUGUUCUGAAUACUUAGAGCUAAAUGAUGAAAAUAAAAUAAUUUACGAGCUAAACUUUUGCUGUGAUUGGCGAUGAAUUCCGUCAUGGGGGAAGGCAUGCAGUCUCUGAUUAUCAUCCCCUUGGCCCUUAGGCUUUUUAAAUGAGGCUUUUUCCGUCUUAAUAAUAUUUCUUGUUUCUCAUCAAGAAGAUAAAUGGAGUUAUAUCUUUUCAGCCUACCAAGCAAAAUUGUUUCUAAAAAAAAAACUAUCACUAUCUAAAAGCAUUAGGAAUUAAAUUUACUGUAGUCAAGAAGAUGCUCAGUAACUGGAAAGCAUUUUUUACCUGUUUUGACACUGAAGCUUCGUUAAACCAAAAGAAAAAGGAGACAACCUAUUGGUAGAAAGGUCUUUACAAUGAUGUAUUGAUGCCUACAAAAUUAUUUUUUUUGUCUAACAUGGUUCUGACUAGUACCAUAACUUCAAGUGCUUAAUUAUUAUCAUGCACUUAUUAUAUUGUUGAAAACAUGGUGUUAAUUAUCUAUUCCCUUCAACUGAUAUUUAUUUAUCAUUGCUUUAGUUUUGCGCAUGGAGCAAGAUGUUGAAAAGUUUAUUCAUGAUCCUGCUUGACAGCAGCUGCCUACUUCAUAUUUACGGUUAGCUGCGCAUCAGAUUGUCCAACAUUACUCGCUGCAAUCCAUGGUUCUAUUGGAUAAUAGUUUACCUGAUGGUCUGGUUCCAAAAUUAUCGUUUGCGAUACUUCUGAAUGUCGUCUUCCAGCUAUCCGCCUUGCAGAUAUUCCUGUAAAUCUACCAGCAGAGGAAUAUAGUAGCAUAAAGGUUGCUAUUAAACAGAGGCCACAGAAGUGGUCCCAACUAGCAAGAGAUGCAAGUGCAAAUUCAUCAAAAACGAGGGAUUCCAAAAGUGUGGAAGAGAGGAAAAGGAGUAUAAUAAAGCUCGUGCUCAAAUAUUUAACUCCAGCAGCAAUUCAGGCUGUCAUGCAAGUGAGAAAGUAGAUGCUGAUCCUAGACCACAGGAUAGUUAUCGUGGUUGUUUGAGUGCUGCAAAGGUUGAGGAGAAGAUGAUUCUGGAGUUCCUGAUAUAAAUUUUAGUAGGGGUUUGAUUGACUGUUCCACGAGUAGCAGUAGAAUAAAUAGAAGGUAGGACUGACAAGGAGCUGCCUAGUAGGCAGUACAAACCAAAUAGUAGGGUAGCCAUUCUUAGAGAUCGUGAGAUUGGCAGCAAGGACCCUGAUUAUGACAGGAGUUAUGAUAGGUAUGAAAUGCAAUCCUUUAUUCUCUUGGUUUGAUCUCAAUGUGUGUGUAUAUACAUAUAUAUUUGCAAAAUCUCUCGUUUAAAAGGUCUAUCCAAAAACAUGUUCUAAAAGUUUUCUCGCUUCAAACUCUGUUUACGAACUCUUUCCAAAACACUUCUUGGACAUUUCUCUUUGUUUUUGUUUGUUUUUUUUCUUUGAAAAAUAAGAUAUUUUACAAAACUUCUGAAAAACUGCAUGAGCAAGGAUGUUGCCACACACAGGGCAAUGAGCAGCAAGGCAACAUGCACCAUGGUGCGCGGAAGAUGUUGUCUUGGUGCCAUCUUUGCACAUGCGGAAGCGAACUUUCAAAUGCAUUUACAAAACAUUGUGGAAAACACUUUUUUUUCUUCCUAUUUUCUUCUAGAAAGUCUUUCCAGAACAUAUGUAUAUAUGUGUGUGUGUAUAUACAUAUAUAUUUGCAAAAUCUCUCGUUUAAAAGGUCUAUACAAGAACAUGUUCUAAAAGUUUUCUCGCUUCAAAUUCUGUUUACGAACUCUUUCCAAAACACUUCUUGGACGUUUCUUUUUUUUUGUUUUUUUGUUUUUUUCUUUGAAAAAUAAGAUAUUUUACAAAACUUUUGAAAAACUGCAUGAGCAAGGAUGUUGGCCACACACAGGGCAAUGAGCAGCAAGGCAACAUGCACCAUGGUGCGCGGAAGAUGUUGUCUUGGUGCCAUCUUUGCACAUGCGGAAGCGAACUUUCAAAUGGCAUUUACAAAACAUUGUGGAAAACACUUUUUUUCUUCCUAUUUUCUUCUAGAAAGUCUUUCCAGAACAUAUGUAUAUAUAUGUGUGUGUAUAUACAUAUAUAUUUGCAAAAUCUCUCGUUUAAAAGGUCUAUACAAGAACAUGUUCUAAAAGUUUUCUCGCUUCAAAUUCUGUUUACGAACUCUUUCCAACACACUUCUUGGACGUUUCUUUUUGUUUUUGUUUUUGUUUUUUUUUUCUUUGAAAAAUAAGAUAUUUUACAAAACUUUUGAAAAACUGCAUGAGCAAGGAUGUUGGCCACACACAGGGCAAUGAGCAGCAAGGCAACAUGCACCAUGGUGCGCGGAAGAUGUUGUCUUGGUGCCAUCUUUGCACAUGCGGAAGCGACUUUCAAAUGGCAUUUACAAAACAUUGUGGAAAACACUUUUUUUCUUCCUAUUUUCUUCUAGAAAGUCUUUCCAGAACAUAUGUAUAUAUAUGUGUGUGUAUAUACAUAUAUAUUUGCAAAAUCUCUCGUUUAAAAGGUCUAUACAAGAACAUGUUCUAAAAGUUUUCUCGCUUCAAAUUCUGUUUACGAACUCUUUCCAAAACACUUCUUGGACGUUUCUUUUUGUUUUUGUUUUUGUUUUUUUCUUUGAAAAAUAAGAUAUUUUACAAAACUUUUGAAAAACUGCAUGAGCAAGGAUGUUGGCCACACACAGGGCAAUGAGCAGCAAGGCAACAUGCACCAUGGUGCGCGGAAGAUGUUGUCUUGGUGCCAUCUUUGCACAUGCGGAAGCGAACUUUCAAAUGGCAUUUAAAACAUUGUGGAAAACAUUUUUUUCUUCCUAUUUUCUUCUAGAAAGUCUUUCCAGAACAUAUGUAUAUAUAUGUGUGUGUAUAUACAUAUAUUUGCAAAAUCUCUCGUUUAAAAGGUCUAUACAAGAACAUGUUCUAAAAGUUUUCUCGCUUCAAAUUCUGUUUACGAACUCUUUCCAAACACUUCUUGGACGUUUCUUUUUGUUUUUGUUUUUGUUUUUUCUUUGAAAAAUAAGAUAUUUUACAAAACUUUUGAAAAACUGCAUGAGCAAGGAUGUUGGCCACACACAGGGCAAUGAGCAGCAAGGCAACAUGCACCAUGGUGCGCGAAGAUGUUGUCUUGGUGCCAUCUUUGCACAUGCGGAAGCGAACUUUCAAAUGGCAUUUGCAAAACAUUGUGGAAAACACUUUUUUUCUUCCUAUUUUCUUCUAGAAAGUUUUCCAGAACAUAUGUAUAUAUAUGUGUGUGUAUAUACAUAUAUAUUUGCAAAAUCUCUCGUUUAAAAGGUCUAUACAAGAACAUGUUCUAAAAGUUUUCUCGCUUCAAAUUCUGUUUACGAACUCUUUCCAAAACACUUCUUGGACGUUUCUUUUGUUUUUGUUUUUGUUUUUUCUUUGAAAAAUAAGAUAUUUUACAAAACUUUUGAAAAACUGCAUGAGCAAGGAUGUUGCCACACACAGGGCAAUGAGCAGCAAGGCAACAUGCACCAUGCGUGCGCGGAAGAUGUUGUCUUGGUGCCAUCUUUGAACAUGCGGAAGCGAACUUUCAAAUGGCAUUUACAAAACAUUGUGGAAAAACACAUUUUUUUCUUCCUUUUCUUCUAGAAAGUCUUUCCAGAACAUAUGUAUAUAUAUGUGUGUGUAUAUUACAUAUAUAUUUGCAAAAUCUCUCGUUUAAAAGGGUCUAUACAAGAACAUGUUCUAAAAGUUUUCUCGCUUCAAAUUCUGUUUACGAACUCUUUCCAACACACUUCUUGGACGUUUCUUUUUGUUUUUGUUUUUGUUUUUUCUUUGAAAAAUAAGAUAUUUUACAAAACUUUUGAAAAACUGCAUGAGCAAGGAUGUUGGCCACAACAGGCAAUGAGCAGCAAGGCAACAUGCACCAUGGUGCGCGGAAGAUGUUGUCUUGGUGCCAUCUUUGCACAUGCGGAAGCGAACUUUCAAAUGGCAUUUGCAAACAUUGUGGAAAACACUUUUUUUUCUUCCUAUUUUCUUCUAGAAAGUCUUUCCAGAACAUAUGUAUAUAUAUGUGUGUGUAUAUACAUAUAUAUUUGCAAAAUCUCUCGUUUAAAAGGUCUAUACAAGAACAUGUUCUAAAAGUUUUCUCGCUUCAAAUUCUGUUUACGAACUCUUUCCAAAACACUUCUUGGACGUUUCUUUUUGUUUUGUUUUUGUUUUUUUCUUUGAAAAAUAAGAUAUUUUACAAAACUUUUGAAAAACUGCAUGAGCAAGGAUGUUGGCCACACACAGGGCAAUGAGCAGCAAGGCAACAUGCACCAUGGUGCGCGGAAAGAUGUUGUCUUGGUGCCAUCUUUGCACAUGCGGAAGCGAACUUUCAAAUGGCAUUUACAAAACAUUGUGGAAAACACUUUUUUUCUCCUAUUUUCUUCUAGAAAGUCUUUCCAGAACAUAUGUAUAUAUAUGUGUGUGUAUAUACAUAUAUAUUUGCAAAAUCUCUCGUUUAAAAGGUCUAUACAAGAAAUGUUCUAAAAGUUUUCUCGCUUCAAAUUCUGUUUACGAACUCUUUCCAAAACACUUCUUGGACGUUUCUUUUUGUUUUUGUUUUUUUUUUUCUUUGAAAAAUAAGAUAUUUACAAAACUUUUGAAAAACUGCAUGAGCAAGGAUGUUGGCCACACACAGGGCAAUGACAGCAAGGCAACAUGCACCAUGGUGCGCGGAAGAUGUUGUCUUGGUGCCAUCUUUGAACAUGCGGAAGCGAACUUUUAAAUGGCAUUUACAAAACAUUGUGAAAACACUUUUUUUCUUCCUAUUUUCUUCUAGAAAGUCUUUCCAGAACAUAUGUAUAUAUAUGUGUGUGUAUAUACAUAUAUAUUUGCAAAAUCUCUCGUUUAAAAGGUCUAUACAAAACAUGUUCUAAAAGUUUUCUCGCUUCAAAUUCUGUUUACGAACUCUUUCCAAAACACUUCUUGGACGUUUCUUUUUGUUUUUGUUUUUGUUUUUUCUUUGAAAAAUAAGAUAUUUUACAAAACUUUUGAAAAACUGCAUGAGCAAGGAUGUUGGCCACACACAGGACAAUGAGCAGCAAGGCAACAUGCCCAUGGUGCGCGAAGAUGUUGUCUUGGUGCCAUCUUUGCACAUGCGGAAGCGAACUUUCAAAUGGCAUUUACAAAACAUUGUGGAAAACACUUUUUUUUCUUCCUAUUUUCUUCUAGAAAGUCUUUCCAGAACAUAUGUAUAUAUAUGUGUGUGUAUAUACAUAUAUAUUUGCAAAAUCUCUCGUUUAAAAUGGUCUAUACAAGAACAUGUUCUAAAAGUUUUCUCGCUUCAAAUUCUGUUUACGAACUCUUUCCAAAACACUUCUUGGACGUUUCUUUUUGUUUUGUUUUUGUUUUUUUCUUUGAAAAAUAAGAUAUUUUACAAAACUUUUGAAAAACUGCAUGAGCAAGGAUGUUUGCCACACACAGGGCAAUGAGCAGCAAGGCAACAUGCACCAUGGUGCGCGGAAGAUGUUGUCUUGGUGCCAUCUUUGCACAUGCGGAAGCGAACUUUCAAAUGGCAUUUGCAAAGCAUUGUGGAAAACACUUUUUUUUCUUCCUAUUUUCUUCUAGAAAGUCUUUCCAGAACAUAUGUAUAUAUAUGUGUGUGUAUAUAUAUAUAUUUGCAAAAUCUCUCGUUUAAAAGGUCUAUACAAGAACAUGUUCUAAAAGUUUUCUCGCUUCAAAUUCUGUUUACGAACUCUUUUCCAAAACACUUCUUGGACGUUUCUUUUUGUUUUUGUUUUUGUUUUUUUCUUUGAAAAAUAAGAUAUUUUACAAAACUUUUGAAAAACUGCAUGAGCAAGGAUGUUUGCCACACACGGCAAUGGCAGCAAGGCAACAUGCACCAUGGUGCGCGGAAGAUGUUGUCUUGGUGCCAUCUUUGCACAUGCGGAAGCGAACUUUCAAAUGGCAUUUACAAAACAUUGGGAAAACACUUUUUUUCUUCCUAUUUUCUUCUAGAAAGUCUUUCCAGAACAUAUGUGUAUAUAUGUGUGUGUAUAUACAUAUAUAUUUGCAAAAUCUCUCGUUUAAAAGGUCUAUACAAGAACAUGUUCUAAAAGUUUUCUCGCUUCAAAUUCUGUUUACGAACUCUUUCCAAAACACUUCUUGGACGUUUCUUUUUGUUUUUGUUUUUGUUUUUUUCUUUGAAAAAUAAGAUAUUUUACAAAAUUUUGAAAAACUGCAUGAGCAAGGAUGUUGGCCACACACAGGCAAUGAGCAGCAAGGCAACAUGCAUCAUGGUGCACGGAAGAUGUUGUCUUGGUGCCAUCUUUGCACAUGCGGAAGCGAACUUUCAAAUGGCAUUUACAAAACAUUGUGAAAACACUUUUUUUUCUUCCUAUUUUCUUCUAGAAAGUCUUUCCAGAACAUAUGUAUAUAUGUGUGUGUAUAUACAUAUAUUUGCAAAAUCUCUCGUUUAAACAGUCUAUCUAAAUUAUUUUCUAAAGGUUUUAUCGCUUUAAAUUCUAUUUACGAACUCUUUCCAACAUAUUUCUUGAAUUGUUGUCUUCCUUUGCGGUUUUGUUUUGUUUUCCUCAAAAAUGAUAUUUCACAUAACUUUCGAUAAACUGCACGAGCAAGGGUAUUGGCCACACAGGGCAAAUUUUAUUUUAAAAGGCCUAUCCAUUAACAGUUUCUAAAAGUUUUCUCACUUCAAAUUUUGUUUUUAAAAUCGUUUCAGAAUCUUUUCUUGAAGUUUCGUCUUCAACUUUUUUUAUAAAGAAAAAAAAAACAUUUCAUUCAACUUUCAAUAUACUCGGCGAGCAAGACAGCAUACAGUCGAUGUGUGGAAGACACAGCCUUGGUGCCACUAUGGCACAGGCAGUCAAACAAACUUACAUAAUAUUGUCUUACCUUUUUUCUCUUCUUUUUUUUCUCUAAAAAACUCUUUCCAAAACACAUUUUCAAUUUAGAAAAAACACAUUCUCUCCAAUGUAGAUUUUGCAAAAUAAAUUCUGUGUAUAAAUAUUACUUGAGAGUGAAUUUUCACUUUUGUGUUUUUUCUAUAUCUUACAUUUAUCUCUUCAUGAUUAUUGGAUAUGUGCUGUAACUUUUCUCGUAUGUUUCCAUAUAAAUUACAAAUGUUGUAUAACAUUUAUCAAUGUAGAAAAAAUCUUAGGUGAUUAAAGGAAAGUUGAUUGUCCAGAAAUUACUUUUUCCUAUUUCAUCAUCAACCGACCUCAAGGCCUCCUAUGGUUGUUCUAUUUUUCAUUUUUAUUUUCUUGAAAUUAAGUCUAUAAACGCUCAUUCUACCUUUAGUUAUACGUUCUAAAAUUAUAUUAUAUUUUAGUUUGACUUCUUGUAUAUUAUUAUUUUGGUACAUUUCUACCAUUUCUACAUUUUAUUUGCACAUAAUUAUAUGUUCUUUUUAUAAUGAUAGAUAACUUCUUUGUUACAAUGUCCAGUUAUUUGACAAUCAUUCAUUUCUAGUUCUGAUUAAUUUUUCUUUGUUAUCACGGGGCACUUUACAGGUAUUUUUAUUUUACUUCUUUUGAUGGAUUUAUUUUUCUUUAGUUUUUCUUCCAACAUUUUCUCUCUCAUCUUUUUCUACUUUUCUUAAGUAUAUUAUUAAAUUUUAUAUCUCUGGAGUCUUGGUAGAAGUUAUUUAUUUUUGCGGUAGGGGUGAUUUCUCUUUUUUGCCCAUUCUGUUUUCUUGGUUCUCUUUCUUUUUUUAUACAAUGGUAACUGAAACAUUCAAAGCCUUGCUUUCGGCUUCCCUAGCUAGCCACAGUGAUGUAUUAUAUGCAAAUGGCAGUUUUCCUUUGGACACUGAGAAAAGGCAAAUGCAAAUGGCAACUGCACGGUACACCUUACAGGACAGUUUUUGAUGCUUUUGCAGGUAAUUUGUAUUAGUUGUGUUAUGUCUGGAAGUGAUUUUAUAUUAUUAUAGUUGUACUAGAUGUUCUAUCCUUGGGACGCAGAGAAAAGGCAAAUGCAAAUGAAGAGUACACACUGUCCUGGAUGAUACUUUGCAGGUAAUUUGUAUUAGUUGUUAUGUCUGGAAGCGAUUUUAUAUUAUCAUAGUUUGUUGUUAGUUGUUAUAAGUAAUUCUGAAGUCUGACAAUGAUUAUUUAGAGUGAAAUCUGGGCAGGUUUGUUGGAGACAAACCGUCUGACAUACAUGAUUUAUGUUCUUUGUAGUUCUGUGCUCAUUGCCUAUGUGAGUAUAGUCUACUUUCUUGUCCUCACAAUCUUUUCCCAACCUUUUCAUGUCUUUCAUAUUUUGAACUGCAUUCAUGGUUUUCGUAUAACUAUAAUAGACGCUCUUAUUCUUUUACUGUGAAACCACUUUUAGUUAUCUAUUUGCAAUAUGCUGUAUGUUCUAUUAGACAGCUACUUGUAGGAGUAUAGAUGAUGAAAUAAACAGAUUUAUUUUGUUAGACGAAAUCUAGUUGAGGAAUUUGACGUUUUUCUUCCUUUAUGUAAAAUCCUAAUAUUAGAAAACUAAGCAAAAGCAGAAAUAGUUUGCAGAGCUGUAGCUUAGGAAUUAUUUUCCUCAAUUUGACUUGAUGUUUGACGCAGGUAUAUGGAUGGGUGAUGGAUAUAUUGCUUUUGAGUGAUUUUUCACUUUUGUAUUCAUUUCUCUUUACCAUUACGGGAUCUGUCUUAUAACCUUUCUCAUGAUUUUCUACGUGAAUUGCAAUUGUUGUAUAAUAUUUUAUCAUAUUAGAAAGAUAUGAGGUGAUUAAAGAAAAAUUGAUUGUCCGGAAAUCAAUUUUUCUUAUUACACCUCAUGUCAAUGCCCAAAUUCCAUAACCAUUUGGUUAUUGUUAUCUUAAAAUUUUGAAAAUUGAGUCUAUAAACACUCAUUCUACUAGAAUUAUAUCAUAUUCUUUAGUUUGAUAUCUUGUAUAUUAUUAUUUUGGUACAUUUCUUUUGUCUUAUUCGCACCAAAUACCACGUUUCUUUGUUUGUUUGCAUGCGGUGCUUUCAAGGUAUUUUUCCUUUACCUCUGUUGACAAAAAAAUAUUUUGUGUACUUCUUCUUGGUACAUUUUCCUUUUCUUCUCAUCAUUUGCUACUUUAUUUUAAAGUAGAUUAUGAAAUUUUAUUUAUUUAUUUUUGGUGGAUGAAUUUUUGUUUUUGUUUUUUUUUUUUUUUGCCAUUUAUGAUCUCUUGUUGGUUCUUUUUCUUUUUUGAUGUUAGUUUUUUUAGUUUUGGAAAUGAAUUGAUAUUUACUCCUUUUGAAUGUGGUCUUUUAUGAGAAGGUAAAAAAAUUUAUCUUACUUUUUAAUGCCAUUCAUUGUAAUUUUAUUUUUGGUAUCUUUUUUUUUUACUUCACUUGUGUAAUUUAUUUUUCUUGGAUGGUGAAAUUUUUUUCACCAUUUAGCUGUGUUUAGUUUCUUUUUAUGUUACAUUCUUAUUUUGUUUGCUUUCUCUAGUUUUAUUUUGUUUUUUUUUUCAAUUAUUUGUAAUUUGUUUUACCAUUUUUAUAAUAUUAUUUUCUUUAGGUCUAUUAUUAUCAGAUAUAUAUUUUGUGGUCAUGGUAGAUUUUUUCAUUAAGGAUAUUUUUUUAAAUUGCAAAAUAAAUUAAAAUAUUUAGUCUAUUGUAAAAUUUUGAAUUCUAUCAACGAUAAAAAUGAUAGACAUUUAUCACUGUCUGUUAUUGUUUAUUAUUGAUAGAAUCUAAAAUUUUGCUAUAUGUUGUAAAUAUUUUGUCAAAUUUGUCAUUUUUGACAUUUUCACUUUUCAUUAUCGUCAUGGAUUCUCUUUUUUCACACUUCGUCUCUUUUCUUUUAUUUAACCUUUCUUUAUGAAAUGUUGUAUCUUUCUGCUUUUCUCUCAAGUGAAAUAUUAGAUUUGGUACUUUUUCUUUUACUCAUUUGGUACAUUUCUUGUUGAACCAAGGUAUAAUUUGUUCUUCUUUGAUGGUUCAAAAUAAUCACUCUACGUUUGACUUUGGUUCUUUUAUUAUCUGGCACAACUUUUAUAUAUAGUUAUUUUCUUUGGUAAAUUUAUUAUAUUAUUAGAUAUAUUAAUUUGUUAGUUUUGUGUACUAUCCAAGGCAGUAAAGAAGUGUAGAAUGACAACUCCUUUCUAUUUUCUAAUUCACUUUUACAAAUAUUAGUUUUAGUAGUUUUUUAUUUUACUCAUUUGGUCAUAUAUUUCUUUUCUUUUGGAAUGGAUGUGUAAUUUUAUUUUUGUUGGAUGGUUUGAAAUAUUUAGGUUCAUGUUGUCAUUCUUCUAGUUUUAUUUUUGAAUAAUUAUAAUUUGUGACAAUUUUUAGAAUAAUGACUAAGUGUAGUAAUUAGAGGUUUAAGAAUAACUUGGGUAAUCCAACAACUUGGAUUAUCCAAUCCAUAUUAUAUGGGUUGGGUUGGGUUAGGUUAAAAUAUGGAUUGGAUUGGGUUGGGUUGAAAAAAUGAAUUUUUUUUAGUUGGGUUUAGUCUCGGGUUGUAAGGUUGAAAAAUUCGAUCAUAUAUAUAUAUAUAUAUAUAAAUAAAUAUUCCUCUCUUCUCACUCUCAAUCCUCCUUUGCGCGUCGCAUCCCUUUUAUUCUCACAUCUCCUACGUCUUCGACAUCUCCUUCGUCUCUACUUUCCUUCAUCUCUGACUCUCCUUGUCCUACUUAUCCCGCGCAUUCCUUAUAUUAUCACAUCUCCUCCGUCUUCGACAUCUUCAUUUCUAACUCUCCUCUAUCUUUGAUCUUCACAGUUCAUCUCGUUAGAUCUCAGAUCUCAUAUACUCGCAGUUCGACGUCAUGUUCUUCUUUGUCAAUCUCUUCAGCUUCUGAAUAACCCGACAAUCCAAUUUAUAUUUUAUGGGUUGGUUUAGAAACUUGAUUUAACCCAAAUAACCUAAAAGUAUGGGUUUGGUUGAGAUGUUUCUCAACCCAACCUUACUACACCCUUAACAGCAACUUUUUUAAAAAUUGCAGAUAUAGCAAAAUUCUUUAGUGAUAAACUUCUAUCGCUCAUAGAUUAUUAUGGUCUAUCAUGAUUGAUUUUGACAGAUUUUGCUUUAUUUGUAAAUUUUUUAAAAUGUUGCUAUAUAUUUAAUUAUUUUAAAUUUAAUUACUAUAUUUGCAACUAUUCUUUUAUUUUGUGUGGUUCUUCUAUUAUUUGGUACACUUUAUAUAUUAUUAUUUUCUUUGGUUUUAUUAUAUUAUGAGAUAUAUUCUGUUAAUUUUGUGCAAAAUACUCUACACAUAUUUUACUUGCUAUAUGUUUCUUUUCUUUGAUUCUUCCAUUUAUCUUUUAAUUCUCUUUUGAAUAUUUAUUUUCUUGAAAAUCUUGGAUUGUAUUUUGUGGAUUUUUUUUCUUAACGUGCACUUCAUCUUUUGAGGUCAAAUGUUUAAUCUAUCAUUUGAUUUAUGUAUCAUGGUCUUAUUAUUUAAGAACGAGUUCACUACAUUCGAAAAAUCAAGACUCUGUUUACGAACUCUUUCCAAAACACUUCUUGGACGUUUCUUUUUGUUUUUGUUUUUGUUUUUUUCUUUGAAAAAUAAGAUAUUUUACAAAACUUUUGAAAAACUGCAUGAGCAAGGAUGUUGGCCACACACAGGGCAAUGAGCAGCAAGGCAACAUGCACCAUGGUGCGCGGAAGAUGUUGUCUUGGUGCCAUCUUUGCACAUGCGGAAGCGAACUUUCAAAUGGCAUUUACAAAACAUUGGGAAAACACUUUUUUUUCUUCCUAUUUUCUUCUAGAAAGUCUUUCCAGAACAUAUGUAUAUAUAUGUGUGUGUAUAUACAUAUAUAUUUGCAAAAUCUCUCGUUUAAAAGGUCUAUACAAGAACAUGUUCUAAAAGUUUUCUCGCUUCAAAUUCUGUUUACGAACUCUUUCCAAAACACUUCUUGGACGUUUCUUUUUGUUUUUGUUUUUGUUUUUUCUUUGAAAAAUAAGAUAUUUUACAAAACUUUUGAAAAACUGCAUGAGCAAGGAUGUUGGCCACACACACGGCAAUGAGCAGCAAGGCAACAUGGCCACACACUCGUUAGUUGUGAGCUCAACUGGGAUUGAGAGUACAAUUGUCCCGCAUAUCAUUCAUUCCAUUAGCUAAUCGCUUCUGUUGCGAUCCUUGGUGGUUCAACCCAUUUGUUCUUUCAUAUCAAUCGUAGUACAACCCAAUCGCUCUUAAGUUGACUUCUCAUACUUAUAGAUUAUGAUUCUCAAUUAUUUGGCUAAGAUAACUUCCAUCGUUGAGCCUCCCUCUACUCAUUCCAAUCACAUUUCUUAACUUUGUUUUCUCUCAUUAUUUGUUGUCAUUUGCUCAACAAGUAUUUAUAUAAAUCAUCCCAAAUCAACUCCCACUUUUCAGAUUUCCAUGGAUAUAAAAAGAAAUGGUGGCUCAUCAUUCGUACCAUUUCUUUUGUUGAUGGGCAUGAAUUACGGGUCAUUAUGAACUCACCAACAAGCAACCAACCAUUUUGACUCCUUGUUAGUACUUAAAAGUUAACAACUUUAAUCAUCUUCUACUAGAUAAAAUAAGUUGUGUUUUCAAAGUUCAUGUGUAAAGCAAAAGAGAUUGUCUUAUAGUGACUUUAACAUAGAUUACACUCCCAUUGUGAAAUAAUAUAUAACUAUAUUUAUAUCAACUAUAUAUUACAUAUAUAACAAAACCCUAAAAUAAAGUUAAGUUGUCCAAAAUAACAAACUAGCGUCCUCCUUGAAAAAUUAUAAAAAUUUCAAGUUAGAUUGUCUUGGAUUUUAGGAUGUAUUAAGGCUAUCUCCAUGUAUUAGAGAAUAUAAGAAAUUCUAUUUAACAAUUUAAAAAAUUAUAAGAUUUUUUUGUAGCCUUAUCCUUGCAAUUGAAGUAGGAGAUUAAAUCCGAAACUCUUGUCGAAAUUGGGCAAGCAUGCUAGCCUGAAAAGAUUGGUUCCGUCGGAAAACAAGAGGGGUUGGUCAAUAUCGGUUUCAGAAAGUUUCAAAUUGAAAACUUUAAAAAAUUAUUUAUAAGUCGAUCAACCCAAUUAAUAUCAACUGACACUUACUCAUCAAUGUCGAUUUUGUAAAAAAUACCAUCUCCGACCGACCGAUUAACACCGAAGUCGGGAACUUACGCAUACUAGAUAAGUGUAGAGUAUAUAUAUCUUUUUCAAAUUUGAUUAAAUUACCAAAUAUUAUAUCCAAUUCUCUCUCUACCCUUUUUUUAUCUGCGUUCCCGCCCGCGCUCGGUGAACUCAUUUGCGCAGCUCUUUCCUCUUUCUCUUCUUUGUCUUCCUCUCGGCUUCACAAUCUUCAUCGUCAAUCUUUGAUCCAGCCUAAGAAGGCGCUGUACAUUAUAGGGUUUUAAGUAGAAGGUGAGUUUUCAGAUUGCUUUUAUAUCUUCUGUCAAGCUAUGAUGCUUUUGGUACUUAUCGACCACUUUCUCAUGCAAGAAUAUUUGAGUUUGAGAAUUAUUUGCUGAAAUUUUUAUGGGUUUAUGGAGUAUUUUCUACUUUGUUUUGGCGGAGUUGAGUUUGCUUCUUAGGUGUAGAGAAGUUUGUUCAGUGUUGUUUUUGUUUUUGAGGCUACAACUCAAUGAAAAAACUCAUUGUUCAUGGAAUUAGGGUUUUAUCUUGUUUAAUGGGGAACAGGCAUGUUUGGUAUUGAUUUUGUGCAUUGUACUGGUAGUCGAGAUCGCAUUGCCAUCUUACAGUUGCUUAUUCUUUUUUUUCUUAUUUUCUUGAUAGUUAUUAGACAAUUGAAACCUCAUAAUUCAACCAAAAUGGCGGCCUUCAAUCUCGUUGCGGAUAUGUAUGACCCGGCCUUGAAGCCUCGCUUGCUACAUAAACUUCUUAGGGAGCACGUUCCCGACGAUAAGCGUGCAUUUUCUGAUUAUUCAGAACUUUCAAAUGUGGUUUCUAUGAUCACAUCCCACGAUCUUCUCUCUGAAUCCUCGUCUUCCAAGGACCAAAAGCUGAUUGAUAGCUGGAAAUCCGCUGUUGAUUCCUGGGUCAACCGUUUGUUUCUUCUUCUCUCCAACGAUAUGGUAUAAGCAUGCAUUAAAUUCUAUUUAAAUAAUUUUUUUAAUAAUACAUAGCUUUUGCUUUAUACUCCCGUGGAUUUGACUAUUUGUCGGCUGCCGGGCUUAUGUGUAGCUUGUUCGAAGAACAGCUGGAACGAAGUUCAGUGGAACUUGUUAAGUUUCAUAAUCAAUGAGUUCGCUGCUGGUUAUUGAGAGAAAAUUUAUAGUUAGUGUUAAUCUAGAAAGUUUGUCGCCUUAGAGCGCCCUUUGCGCUUUGAAAACACCGUUUAAUUCUUAGAAACUGAACAUUUGAACCUUGCUUGCAUAUUUGGCAAUUCAUUGGCAUGCAGGAAGAUAGGGAAUAAUAUUGACUGUCUUUAUUACUUUGUUUUUUAGAUAUUGCUCAACUUCCUUUUGUGGGUUACUAAUUUUAGCAUCCAAUCUUUCUAAAGCCUGAUAAAUGUUGGGCGGGAAUCAUUUUACUUGGAGUGACUUGUCAACGAUGCAGCUCUAGUCGUUUCUUGGCAUCAUAUACAGAAUGGCUUCACAAGCUUUUACCUCACAUGCAGGUAACAGUUAGUUUUUUAUGGGAUUGAUUCUAUAUUAUUUCUUUACAUGUAUUAAGUGGCAAAAAUGUUAAAUUAUAGUGUACACAUGAAGAAGAAUAAGAGUUAAAUGAUAAGUUAUUCCAUCAGAACUAAGAUACCGGUUACUGUUUGGGACACAUAACUGCAAUAAUUCAACUAUGCUUUUGAGCAUGUGAUGUGGCUGGAUCGUCUUUGACAGUCGACCUGUUUGACUACAGUAAAUAUGUUUGUUCUGAAAUUUGGGUAUGAUUGGUUGUAAGAUAUUCAUCAAAAUGAGUUCUGGACAUUAUUUGUGACAAUAAGUGAUUAUUGUUUCUUGGAAAGAAUGCAAAAUCACGCAUUGGGGGUUUCCAAGCUCUUAUUCUUUUCAUUAAUAUAGGAUUGAACAAGUUAAGAUAAACUACGGAUGAAAUAGCAGGUCUAACCAGCUCUCCUCGUACAUGGGUCCCCAAAGACAUGCAUCGGCAUGUAUCUGAUUAGCAUAAGAUAGCCUUUGGCAACACUUAAUGAUUGUGGAGCUACUGAAGGACCUAAUGCACUGCUAUUCUUGAGCAUGGUUAUCUGAUAUUUUAUCAAGUGUUAUACAAAGUGCAAUUUUUUUUUCUUCUGAAGACACAAAAGAAUAUAUUGAUCACAAAUAGUGUGUACGUAGUUCCAGAGCAAUGUCAAGUUCCUUCUUUUUCUGUUCCUUUUAUUUAUAUUGUUUCUGUCUUUAGCUUUACAACUUAUAAUCAUCAAUGCUUUUUUUAUACUUGAAUGCUACCAAGAAUUUACAACGUUUUCAUUUUUUGUGUUUUUAUUGUUCAAUAGACAGAUUCUCAGUUUCUGAAGGUGGCCUCUUGUGCUUCAAUCUAUGAUUUAUUCUCGAGUACAUCUUCAUUUGACCUUGGCAGAAAUCUAUCACACGAAGUUGUCCCUCAAACACAACCCUUUUUUUUAUUCGAAAUGGUAACAAUGUCAUUGAUAAGAUGAAAUUAUAAAAGGAUACCUAUCAAUUGGAUUACAAAAAACUCUUCCAUCGAGUAAUAAGAGAAACUAAAUCAUAAUUAUAAAAAGGGUAACCAAUUCACCCCAAGUGAGGGUUGUAUGUGUCACUCAAACACAAAUUGAUUUGUUAACUAUACCCCUUCCAAAAGCGAAAUUUUUAUGUGCCUUGUGUAUAUUUAACUGAAUACCUCUUAGGAUUUGUUUAUUGUUGAUUCUACAUCGACUUUGUGGUCUGUGGAUUCAACUAUUGAAUGCUGACUUGAGAAUAAUAGAUAACUGAUUGAAUCACAUUCUGUAAGUUAUUACUGUCAAGUCGUUUUAUUGCCAAUAUGAGCAUAGAACUAUUGGUUAAGCAUAUAUCCCACCUCCAUAUGUUGUUGAGCUUAAAAAUAAAAAUUGUCUAUUUAUUUAUUUUUUAAAAUAAAAUAACCACUUUCAUUGAGCAAAAUCAAAGAAAAUUGUCUAAAACUUUUAAGCAAUAUGCUUGACCAUAUUAUUGCUUGUUUCGUGACUUUUUAAGAUGUAUCUUUUACAAAUUAGAUUGGGUAGAUUUCAAAGUGUAAAGAAAGAUGGACUUCUUGUGCUGGAAGUCAUUCAACCUGUUGCAUGAUGAUAAUACUGAAGCUGUUUUGGUAAGUCCAUUUUUCAUGGACUAUUUUCAUGCAUUCAUGAGCUAAAUAAUUUUGUAACAAUGGUAUUUUAAUUAUCUAUGCAACUGAGAUCCUCUUUUGUAAAAAUUUCUUAGUCUUUUGUGAAAUUUUUCAUCUCUCUUUUUGUACUCUUGCUUGGUAUUGGUAGUUGCAACUUUGUUUUAAAAUAUGUAACUAUCUGCAUGUUGUUUGAUGCAGGAUAAUGCGGUUAAUCUGUUAUGCACCUUGAUAGAUUUCUUCCCCUUCACAAUCCAUCGUCAUUAUGACUCUGUAAGUGCUUUAACAAAUAAUGUGAUAUUGAUUCUGUUUUAAAUUACAAUUUUGGAACUCUGGUAGCUUUCUGACUUUUCUGUUCACUGGUGAUGUAAUCUAAGCUUCCGAAGUUUGUUAUUAUUAUCGUUAUUAUUUUUAAUUUGAUUUAGUUUAAUUUUUUUCCUUCACAAAAAAACUGCUAUAAAAAACUGGAAAGAGAGUGUUUGUAUUACCAUUAGAAGCUGAAAUAAUUAAAUUUUCUCCCAUAAUUGCACUCAACAUCUUCAGCACAUAUGGCUUCAUGCUGUCACUUGUCAGCAUGUUGUUUAUCUAUAGAUCACUAUCUUUGUAAUUCAAAAACUGACAAAGUUUAAAUUCCAUGCCAAAUAGAAAAAAAGGAUUUAUGUUGAAAUAGUUGAUUUUGUUUCUUCCUGAUGAAUUGGAUAUAUUCUAUAGGCCGAAGCUGCAAUUGUUUCAAAAAUAUUUUCAGGAAGUGUAGUUCUAACAUGCUGAAGGUACUGUGCCUCUUAUGUAGUUUUAAUCAUAGUACAGUAGAUAUUAACGUCAAAUGUCCCCAUAAUUUUCUCGUGUUUUAUAUUUCAAAUUUAGAAGCUUGCCCAUUGCCUGCAUCACUUCCAAAAUCAAAAGGAGACGAAGAUAGCUGGUCUUUACUAAUUCAGAAGAUUUUGUUAUCCAUCAAUAGUCACUUGAAUGAGGCCUUCCAAGGCAUCGGUGAAGGUAUACUGAACUGUAAAACAAGUAAAGCUAUCUCAAUUUAUGAAAAUGGUGACAAUGAUGCAUUUGAAUGUUUUUUGUAGAUUCAAAAGGCAUUGAAGUUGUAAGGUUACUGAUUCUACCAGGAAAAGAUCCUCCACCACCUUUAGGUUGUUGUUCACAAUCAGAAGGUUCCUUGGACAAAAUAAAAAAGAGCUCAGAGCGGAUGUUAACAUCUAGUAUUUCAACCUUGAUGGUUUGCUGUUCCACAAUGAUAACAAGUUCAUACAACCAUCAGUAGCAACACGUCAUCCAUUUUUUGUUAUGCUCAUAUUAAAAGAGGAAAUGUUCCCCUCUAUAUGAAUCUAUAUACAUCUACUGUGACACCUCACUUUCUUAAUUAAUAUAAUGAAAUAAAGAAAGUGGUGUUAAAUUGAUCUUUAUUUGUAUUAUAUCAGGUGGCAGUUCCCAUUCGCCCGUUAUUAGCUCUUGUUGAGAGAGUGCUGACGAUGGAUGGUUCUUUGCCACCCACUUCAGUGCCAUUUAUGACAUCUCUGCAGCAAGAAUCAAUGUGUUUAGAACUUCCGGUGCUGCAUUCAGUCAGUUUGGAUCUCCUCGUUCCAUCAUUAAGAGCCUUCGCAGUGAGGCAUCUACUAUUCAACUACACGACUAUAUACCAUAAAACCUUUAUGCAGACCCAGACUUUUUCAGUAAUCAAUACCCAUCCAUAAACAUAUCACAUGUGCUUUCUUCCACCUCUACAAGAUGCGAUCAACAAUGAUCUUUCAUGUUAUAUGAAUACGAAAAUGAUCCAAUGUAUACAAAGUUUCCACUUAGAUAAGUUGGAAGAAAAUGUGUGAAGUCUAGCCUGUCAAUUGCCACUGAAAAAAAUAUGGAUGCCAUAUUUUGUUUAUAUAAUUAUUAUUAAAUUCCUUUUCAGUCAAUUGUUGCCACAUGCUGCAUCAAUUGUACGACUCAUUGUGAAGUACUUCAAGAAGUGUGUCUCUGCAGAACUGAGAGUAAAAGUCUACGCAGUUGCUAAGUCAUUGAUGACGUCUUUGGGUGUUGGUAAGAAUUAUAUUGUGUUUCAUUUGCAUGGAGAUAAUUAUAAUUAUUGUUUUAAUGUCUAUAUGGAAACAUUGUUUUGGAUGUAUACUUAUUCAAUGCCGCAUUUGAAUCAGGAAUGGCUGCAUCUCUUUCUCGAGAUGUGAUUGACAAUGUACUAGGUGAUUUGAACCCUGUAAAUAAUGAGAGUUCUGAUCCAUCUAAUGUGAAUCCAAAGGACACGCAAAGAGAUUACCGCAACACCAUAAUAAGAGAAAACGCCCUUCAGUUCCCACUUCCAUGAAAGGCAGCACGAGAGGAAUGAACCAGAGGACAUUACCAGCAGCUGUAGCUAUACCUCAGUCCACUUGAGGAUAGCUGCACUUGAGGCUUUGAAGACUCUUCUUACAUCGGUGGGCAUUAUAUAUUUAUUUGUCUCUUUGGUUAAUUAUUUUGCAUACGAAUUUAUUAAAAAAGUUAUUAAUGGGAAUAUUUUUGGUUCAUUUGUGUCAAAUGGUUUUUAACUGCUGACUGCUUUAUUUAUUUAUUUGUUUGUUUUUUUCGUUGAUUAUUUGUAUAGGCUGGUGCUUUGAGAUCUGAAGAAGGAUGGCGUGCAAAAGUUGAACAUCUUUUAAUAACAACUGCAACAUCUUCUCUUCAAUGGCCACGAGCCUCGACGACACCUUUUCCAAGCCAAUGAAUCUAUUGAGGUUUGGGUGGAUUAUCAGUUGGCGGCAUUUCAUGCACUACUGGCUUCUUUUUUGUCUGCUGUCCAUGUACGCCCACUGGCUUUGGCUCAAGGUCUCGAGCUCUUUCGUAAAGGUAAAUCUCUUUUGAUAUUUCGUUUGAUCAUGUGGAAGGCUGGGUUUGAGAACGAGGAUGCUAGAUCACCUUAUUUAUGAGUCAAACUGAUAGGCAUUUUCUUCUUCAGGUAAACAAGAAAAUGGAACCAAACUUGGUGAGUUUUGUGCCAUGCUCUCUUAGCCAUGGAGGUUCUAAUACAUCCGAGGGUCCUUCCCCUCUCGGAUUUCUUGCCAUUGCGCUUGAGCUCUCCUGAACCACAAGCUGCCUUUAAAUUCCAGGAAGAUCUGUACUUCAACAGUAACGAUUCUAGAAAUUGUUGAAGGUCGGCCCGCAAAGCAUGGAGCAGAUGGCCUCCGAGGCUCUAAUUAGUGAUGAUGUGGUAGAUAACAAUGAAAUGACGUAUAGCACCUCAAAUGAUAUUGAAAAGGAGCCCUCUGCAAAUGCAUAGCGAAUAUAGAAAUGCCCAAGAGAACCGAACAGGCCACUGCAGCAGCCAUCUCAGAAGUAGGGUUGUAGCGGAAGAUGACGUUGAAUUUGCUAAUGCAAGUAUGAAUAGUUCCCCCAUGUCAUCAAAAUCAGAUAAAAUCGAAGAUUUUGACGGGAUUCGAGCUCGAAUUUAUUGCUAGAAGAUGACUUUCCUGAUAUUAUUGAUGCAGAUCCUGAUACAGACUAUGAAGAGUGAAAAAGGUAUUGUCAAUCAUUGACUCAAUUUUGUAGUUUUAAGGCUUAAGGGUGUUGUUCAGAACUCAAAAUCAAUUAUUAUUGUUGUUUCUAUUCAUGUAGCCAUAGAUGGCUUGAACUGAUGAUCGAGAAUGGUUAUGUAUAUAAAAAGGUGAAAGUUAGACAAAUUUCAAAAGCUUUGAUUGCUAGUUUCUGAUAAAUUUUCUUUCAAUCAUUUUUAUUUUUUUCAUUCUUAGAUAAUGGGGUGCCGAUUUGCAAUAUACGUUAGGACAACGAUUAGAUGCAUUAUAGAAUAUACCAUCUUUUAAGUAAUGUAUUAGAUACGGUAGGACAACGAUUAGAAUGUAUUAUAGAAUAUACCAUCUCGUAAGUAAUAUGGUAUCUUUUUGAAGUCCUAAAAUGUUGAGGAUAAAUUUGUGGGUAUUACAAUCUCGAGAUGUAGUUAAGAUCAACAAUAUCUAAAUAGGCAAUUAAAUAAACAAUGUCUAAAUAGACGAUUAAAUGAACCCUUUAGAAAGAGAGCAAAAAUAAAAUGACAGAGUGAAGUUUCUUUAAAAAAACUUUUUAAAAAUUAUUGUUUUGAUAAUAACUGAUCGUAGUUAACUACUAGUGCUCAGUCUCUUUUACAUCUUACUCUAACUUAUCAUCAUGUUUGAAUCAAUUUUUAACUUAUCAUCAUGUUUGAAUCAAUUUUAGGGUUAAGUGAAUGUCAAGUGAAUGUAUUUUGUUCUUACAACAUAUGUGUUAAGUGAAUGUAUUUUGUUCAAACUCAAUUAAUUUAGGAAAAAUGUUUUAAAUAAAAACUAUUUAAAACAUUUACAAAUAUUAAAAUUUAUAUGUUUAUUAGUAUUUUUGUUAAUUAAUUUUGAAAUUUUAGUCUGUUUUGUAAAUAUGGUUUAUUUUGCUAUUUUGAAACAAUCCAUUUGAAUGUUGUUUUGUUUAAAUUAUUAGAAUUGUAUUAUUGGAUAAAAGACAUUUAAAAAUAGCAAAUAUUAAAACUAUUUAUACAAAAUUCCUCAAACUUUUCAUAUAUUUAAGUUUUUCUUUAAAAUUAUAUUUCAUAAAUAGUUUUUUUUUAUCCAUAACAAAUUUUCAUGAUAAAUGGUAAAGCAUAUUAAAUAUGUAAAUAGUUCAACUCAGUUAAUUGUAAUUUGGUCAUAUCAUACUAAAAAAGUUAUAUGUAUGUUAUUUAAAAGAGUUCAUAUCAUACAGUUUCUUAAAUUUUAGGUACCAAACUUAUAAGAUACAAAAAUCAAAGUUUAAAAAUAGAAAGUAAAUAUUUUGGCAUUCUAUUUCUAAAAAAAAACUCCUUAUAAUAAUUACUAGUAAAAAAAAAAGUUGGUUGAUUUUCAUUUUUUUUUUAAUCUCAACCUUUCAUGUUAAACUUUAUAUAAAGAUUUUUUUUUAAAUGACAAUUUAACAGUAAGAUUUUAUAUUAUAUCAAUUUGAUAAAUAUUGAUAGACAUUAAUAUGAUAAUAAAUAUGAUAGAUAUUCAUAUGUUUUUAUCUGACAAUAAUAGAAGUUUAUUUAGUUUAUCUCGUUAAUAAAAUCUAAAAUGUUUGUCUAUGAUGAAUAUUUUAGUUUAUUUUUGUAUUUAAAAAAUAUCCUCCAAAAAACGUAAUUUUUUUCCACUAAAAGUUAUUAAAAUUUAAUAACAAGAGUUGGUGAAUUGCUACAUUUUAUUUCAUUUAUAUGUCAUUUACAUCCCAUUGUAAUUUACAGAUUUUUUUUUUCAAAUGGUAUGGGUAAGUAAUCAGUGCGGUUUAGUGUAAGGAUUAGUUAUAUUCAAAUUAUAGCAAACUAUCUUAAUUUGAAACUUAACGGCGUCAACGACAAGCAACGGCGUCAACGACAAGCAACGGCUACAUUUUUAGGUUUAUUUACUUCAUUCAACUCUCAAAACAAUCUCCGUCGCAAUUUCUCUCUAGAAUUUUCUUCUUCCGCCUCCGUGCACAGCGUCGAAUCUCCAAACCCUAAUUAUAAAUGCAAUUCCGAUCCACAAAUUCUUAUGCUACCUCGAUCCCUCUUUGGGAGCUUCUAUUCCCUAAUCUUUGAUGUCUUGCUUCGUCUGCGGUUGAGGAUCUCGGAGGACCGGAGUCACGGGAGGUCGCUGAUUUGGAUGAAGCCAUGAGUCGAUUGAUGCUCCCUUUUUCAUCUCCUAAGAAGAAUUCCAAAUCCUUGGAUGUGGCUGAUGCUGCUCCUGCCUAUCAUUUUUCAUCCGCUUGAUUUCCUUCCCUUUCUGGUUCAGCUUAUUCUGCUCUCGAUAGGGUUUCCGAGGAUGCUAUCAAUCAGGUUGAUCAGUUCCUUCGUGAGGCUUUGCAUAACCCUCGGAGCGUCUAUCAAGUAAGUUGUUUAUUUAGCUUUCCUUUAUUGUAGAUGGUCAAUGGUGUAUUGGUUUCAGGAGUUGUCUAAUGUCAUGUUCUGUAGAGGAGGAGAUAGUUAAAAGUUGCUAGCUACGGCCUUCUCGAAGGUGGGCUGGAAGUGGCUGGUUGCUUCCCGGAUUUGUAGGCUUUUAGUUUGUUCUAGUCUUUCGAAUGCCUCAUUUAAAUCAAUGGUAUUAGAAAUUUAGAAGUAUUAUUGCCAAAAACUACAUGGUGGAUUUCAUGAAGAUGUGAUAUAUGUUUGGAACAGUAUGUGAAACUAUGUGACAUGAUGUGCUUUUAGGUAAUCCAAGACAAAGGUUGGAUGGUUGUAAGACAAUCUUGGGAAGAUGUGUGGACUAGUGGAGGGUUUUUGGUUUAACCGUUUUUCUAGUCGGUACGGGUGGUGGAUUCGAAGAAUUAAUUGCUGAAGGAGUUGUAGGACUUAAAAGCUGGGUUGCAAAAUGAAUGCAAGACGAAAUUUAGAAGAUGGAGAAGAAAGGGAGAUUUUGUUGCUAUUGGAUGUUCUGAAUACUUAGAGCUAAAUGAUGAAAAUAAAAUAAUUUACGAGCUAAACUUUUGCUGUGAUUGGCGAUGAAUUCCGUCAUGGGGGAAGGCAUGCAGUCUCUGAUUAUCAUCCCCUUGGCCCUUAGGCUUUUUAAAUGAGGCUUUUUCCGUCUUAAUAAUAUUUCUUGUUUCUCAUCAAGAAGAUAAAUGGAGUUAUAUCUUUUCAGCCUACCAAGCAAAUUGUUUCUAAAAAAAAACUAUCACUAUCUAAAAGCAUUAGGAAUUAAAUUUACUGUAGUCAAGAAGAUGCUCAGUAACUGGAAAGCAUUUUUACCUGUUUUGACACUGAAGCUUCGUUAAACCA